GGGGAUAAUGAGGAUUGCAUAGACCCCUCCCCUCCAAAAAAAAACCCUCAAAAGGCUGCAGGAGGUGUUGAAAGGAGGAGACAUCAAAAAAGGUAUUCACGCUCCUUAUUAGAGCGAUCAUGAUUUUUGCUUUUUAGCUAAUGAUAUUUUGGGACGGCUCAGUUACUUUGUGCUGAAGACGUGACAAUGACGUCUCCCGCCUGCUUCUCACGUUCAAAGUCACACAUCGCACGCAUGCAGCCACUUGGGCACUUGGACCCAAGGACAACACAUCCAACGUGAAAAGAGGCAAGUGUGUCCCCGUUUGAAAUUCAACUAGUCUCAAUGUCCUCUUUUUUUCCCGCCCUGAAUUCAUUACUGUCUCUCUCACACACACACGCAUACACACACACACAUAUUCAUCAUGUUGCAGUUACCUUUCACCCGAACAUUCUAUUCUCAGGAACCCCAAUAUGGCAGCAAGUGACCUUCAUUAGUCUGCUUCUCAGUUCCAUCCUCACUGUGUUUGUUUUUAUUCUCUCCACGUGUGACACAUUUGACCUCCCAAUUUUUUCUUCCCCUUUUUAAGUCCUUCAACAACUCCCAUCACACACACAGCAUCCAUUUAUGCUCCUUUUUUCUCAAUUUCCCGCCUUCUCCCUUCUUUUGCCCUUAUUCCCCCCCCCCACCCCCCGCCCCCAUCAUUUCUUUUAUCUGCCACUCAUUUCUCAUUACGUUUCUCUUUUUUCAUUAGCAUACAGAGUAAGAAGAUGGCGCCCGGGGUAAUCUGCUGGAAACCGUCGCUUGACAAAAUGGAGGGCGUCAUCGGAGGUCGCGGCGCUGUCACUAGACGUCCAACCUCCGCUGAUGACUCGCCUGUCUCGAUGCACGCCUGCGCGGCGCAGGUGAGCGAAAGAUGCUAACGCGGACCCAUAAUCAGACAAGCAGAUGAACCCGCAGCCGGCCCAUUACGCUGACCACUCCUUGCGGCUAAAUACCCCUUAAUGUCUUCAACUGCGGGCGAGGGCUGCUCUCACGCCGCAUUUUGGCACCGUUGGAGCUCAAAACUGCAAUCGAAUCCACCGCCUUUCCCGAUCCAAAUCCAAAAGGCAGUCGAGUACUUGACUUUUUGAAGUUUUGAAUCCAGAAGGAAGAGUCCAUGUUGCUGUCAAGGUAAGGAAAGCUGUCUCUGAUUUUGACGCGUGUACAAUACCGGCCGAGUGGAUGCCUGGAUUUUGGUCCAGAAGUGUCCUUGACACUCUCAAAAGUCAAGACUGGUUCUCCAGUGCAACAACGAGGACACAGAUGACAAAUAUCACGAUAUCAUCGCGAGAGAAAAAAACUUCCUGCGCCGUCAUCGCACUCUAUUAAUAAUCGAGGGAUCAAAACAUACUAGCGAAUGAUCGCAAUUUUUUUCUUGUGCCACUUUGGGUCUCUGCGUCUUGUCCGUCAUUCCUCUGCGAUUUUGGCGACAGCCGUCUCCCCGUUUCUCAAAGUCAAGCCCAGCUGAUUGAUUUUGUCUGCGAGGAAAGGGAUUCGAAAACAAUCGCUCGUCAAGCAUCAGCUCAGUAAAGGUGGGUUGUGAUUUACAACCUGCGGGGACUCGACGACUCAUGCGUCGGCCUCCUGUUUCAUCUUCUCAUGUCAGAGCCACAGAUGGCCCCGAUGCCCUUGGCCUCUUUGUGCGAGUCCAAAGUCAUUUUUAACUCAUUAUACGGCAACUUGGAGUUGUUUUCAUUUGUCGCAGAAAGGCGAGUCUCAAUCAGUCAAGUCACAUUUGAAUCCGGGCUCCUUUCAGAUCCGC